rnacentral:misc_RNA from 1 species
GGCAAGGCUGCGGUUUGA